rnacentral:lncRNA from 1 species
UCACACACACACACACACACACGGUCGUUUUGUUCACACACACACACACACACACACACACACACACGGUCGUUUUGUUCACACACACACACUGUCGUUUUGUUCACACACACACACAAGGUCGUUUUGUUCACACACACACACACACAAAUGGUCGUUUUGUUCACACACACACACGGUCGUUUUGUUCACACACACACACGGUCGUUUUGUUCACACACACACACGGUCGUUUUGUUCACACACACACACGGUCGUUUUGUUCACACACACACACGGUCGUUUUGUUCACACACACACGGUCGUUUUGUUCACAAACACACACACACGGUCGUUUUGUUCACACACACACACGGUCGUUUUUUUUUCACACACACACACACACACACGGUCGUUUUGUUCUCUCACACACACACGGUCGUUUUGUUCACACACACACACACACACGGUCGUUUUGUUCACACACACACGGUCGUUUUGUUCACACACAACACACACACACGGUCGUUUUGUUCACACACACACACACACGGUCGCUUCGUUCACACACACACACACACACACACGGUCGUUUUGUUCACACACACACACACACGGUCGUUUUGUUCACACACACACACGGUCGUUUUGUUCACACACACACACGGUCGUUUUGUUCACACACACACACACACGGUCGUUUUGUUCACACACACACACACACACACACACACACGGUCGUUUUGUUCACACACACACACACACACGGUCGUUUUGUUCACACACACACACAUGGUCGUUUUGUUCACACACACACACACGGUCGUUUUGUUCACACACACACACACGGUCGUUUUGUUCACACACACACACACGGUCGUUUUGUUCACACACACACACACACAGUCGUUUUGUUCACACACACGCACACACACACACGGUCGUUUUGUUCACACACACACACACACGGUCGUUUUGUUCACACACACACACACGGUCGUUUUGUUCACACACAUACACACACACACACACACACACACACACGGUCGUUUUGUUCACACACACACACACACACACACACACGGUCGUUUUGUUCACACACACACACGGUCGUUUUGUUCACACACACACACGGUCGUUUUGUUCACACACACACACGGUCGUUUUGGUCACACACACACACGGUCGUUUUGUUCACACACACACGGUCGUUUUGUUCACAAACACACACACACACACGGUCGUUUUGUUCACACACACACACGGUCGUUUUUUUCACACACACACACACACACACACACACACACACACCACGGUCGUUUUGUUCUCUCACACACACACGGUCGUUUUGUUCCACACACACACACACACGGUCGUUUUGUUCACACACACACGGUCGUUUUGUUCACACACACACACACACACACACGGUCGUUUUGUUCACACACACACACACACACACGGUCGCUUUGUUCCACACACACACACACACACGGUCGUUUUGUUCACACACACACACACGGUCGUUUUGUUCACACACACACACACACGGUCGUUUUGUUCACACACACAUACACGGUUGUUUUGUUCACACACACGGUCGUUUUGUUCACACACACGGUCGUUUUGUUCACACACACACACGGCCGUUUUGUUCACACACACACACGGCCGUUUUGUUCACACACACACGGUCGUUUUGUUCACACACACACACACAUACACACGGUAGGUUUGUUCUCACACACACACACACACACACACACGGUCGUUUUGUUCACACACACACACACGGUCGUUUUGUUCACACACACGGUCGUUUUGUUCACACACACACACACACGGUCGUUUUGUUCACACACACACACGCGUCGUUUUGUUCCACACACACACACACGGUCGUUUUGUUCACACACACACACACACGGUCGUUUUGUUCACACACACACACGGUCGUUUUGUUCACACACACACACGGUCGUUUUGUUCACACACACACGGUCGUUUUGUUCACACACACACACGGUCGUUUUGUUCACACACACACACGGUCGUUUUGUUCACACACACGGUCGUUUUGUUCACACACACACGGUCGUUUUGUUCUCACACACACACACACACACACGGUCGUUUUGUUCACACACACACACGGUAGUUUUGUUCACACACACAAACACGGUCGUUUUGUUCACACACACAAACACGGUCGUUUUGUUCACACACACACACACACACAGUCGUUUUGUUCACACACACGCACACACACAUACACACACGGUCGUUUUUUCAAACACACACACACAGUCGUUUUGUUCACACACACACACACACACACACGGUCGUUUUGUUCACACACACGGUCGUUUUGUUCACACACACAUACACACACGGUCGUUUUGUUCACACACACACACACACACACACACACACACACACACACACGGUCGUUUUGUUCACACACACACGGUCGUUUUGUUCACACACACACGGUCGUUUUGUUCACACACACACACAUACACACGGUAGGUUUGUUCUCACACACACACACAUACACACACACACACACACGGUCGGUUUGUUCACACACACACACACACACACACACGGUCGCUUUGUUCACACACACAGCGUCGUUUUGCUCACACACACACACGGUCGUUU